rnacentral:rRNA from 1 species
GAUGAACGCUGGCGGCGUGCCUAAUACAUGCAAGUCGAGCGAACAGACGAGGAGCUUGCUCCUUUGACGUUAGCGGCGGACGGGUGAGUAACACGUGGGUAACCUACCUAUAAGACUGGGAUAACUUCGGGAAACCGGAGCUAAUACCGGAUAAUAUUUCGAACCGCAUGGUUCGAUAGUGAAAGAUGGCUUUGCUAUCACUUAUAGAUGGACCUGCGCCGUAUUAGCUAGUUGGUAAGGUAACGGCUUACCAAGGCAACGACACGUAGCCGACCUGAGAGGGUGAUCGGCCACACUGGAACUGAGACACGGUCCAGACUCCUACGGGAGGCAGCAGUAGGGAAUCUUCCGCAAUGGGCGAAAGCCUGACGGAGCAACGCCGCGUGAGUGAUGAAGGUCUUCGGAUCGUAAAACUCUGUUAUUAGGGAAGAACAAACGUGUAAGUAACUGUGCACGUCUUGACGGUACCUAAUCAGAAAGCCACGGCUAACUACGUG